CAUGGUUAAGUGGGAAACGAUGUGGGAAGGCCCAGACAGCCAGGAUGUUGGCUUAGAAGCAGCCAUCAUUUAAAGAAAGCGUAAUAGCUCACUGGUCGAGUCGGCCUGCGCGGAAGAUGUAACGGGGCUAAACCAUGCACCGAAGCUGCGGCAGCGACGCUUAUGCGUUGUUGGGUAGGGGAGCGUUCUGUAAGCCUGUGAAGGUGUACUGUGAGGUAUGCUGGAGGUAUCAGAAGUGCGAAUGCUGACAUAAGUAACGAUAAAGCGGGUGAAAAGCCCGCUCGCCGGAAGACCAAGGGUUCCUGUCCAACGUUAAUCGGGGCAGGGUGAGUCGACCCCUAAGGCGAGGCCGAAAGGCGUAGUCGAUGGGAAACAGGUUAAUAUUCCUGUACUUGGUGUUACUGCGAAGGGGGGACGGAGAAGGCUAUGUUGGCCGGGCGACGGUUGUCCCGGUUUAAGCGUGUAGGCUGGUUUUCCAGGCAAAUCCGGAAAAUCAAGGCUGAGGCGUGAUGACGAGGCACUACGGUGCUGAAGCAACAAAUGCCCUGCUUCCAGGAAAAGCCUCUAAGCAUCAGGUAACAUCAAAUCGUACCCCAAACCGACACAGGUGGUCAGGUAGAGAAUACCAAGGCGCUUGAGAGAACUCGGGUGAAGGAACUAGGCAAAAUGGUGCCGUAACUUCGGGAGAAGGCACGCUGAUAUGUAGGUGAAGUCCCUCGCGGAUGGAGCUGAAAUCAGUCGAAGAUACCAGCUGGCUGCAACUGUUUAUUAAAAACACAGCACUGUGCAAACACGAAAGUGGACGUAUACGGUGUGACGCCUGCCCGGUGC
rnacentral:rRNA from 1 species